rnacentral:rRNA from 1 species
UACGUAGGGUGCAAGCGUUAAUCGGAAUUACUGGGCGUAAAGCGUGCGCAGGCGGUUGUGCAAGACAGAUGUGAAAUCCCCGGGCUCAACCCUGGGAACUGCAUUUGUGACUGCAUGGCUAGAGUACGGCAGAGGGGGAUGGAAUUCCGCGUGUAGCAGUGAAAUGCGUAGAUAUGCGGAGGAACACCGAUGGCGAAGGCAAUCCCCUGGGCCUGUACUGACGCUCAUGCACGAAAGCGUGGGGAGCAAACAGG